rnacentral:rRNA from 1 species
GACGAACGCUGGCGGCGUGCCUAAUACAUGCAAGUAGAACGCACAGUUUAUACCGUAGCUUGCUACACCAUAGACUGUGAGUUGCGAACGGGUGAGUAACGCGUAGGUAACCUGCCUGGUAGCGGGGGAUAACUAUUGGAAACGAUAGCUAAUACCGCAUAAUAUUAAUUAUUGCAUGAUAAUUAAUUGAAAGGUGCAAUUGCACCACUACCAGAUGGACCUGCGUUGUAUUAGCUAGUAGGUGAGGUAACGGCUCACCUAGGCGACGAUACAUAGCCGACCUGAGAGGGUGAUCGGCCACACUGGGACGGAGACACGGCCCAGACUCCUACGGGAGGCAGCAGGAGGGAAUCGUCGGCAAUGGACGAAAGUCUGACCGAGCAACGCCGCGGGAGUGAAGAAGGUUGUCGGAUCGUAAAGCUCUGUUGUAAGAGAAGAACGGGUGUGAGAGUGGAAAGUUCACACUGUGACGGUAUCUGACCAGAAAGGGACGGCUAACUACGUG